rnacentral:rRNA from 1 species
GAUUUUUGUUUUUUGUUGUUGUUUAGUAUUGCAUACUAUUGUAAGAUUUUGGGUGUUUUUAUACUUAAUGGAAUGGGAAAGUAGAAUUGGUAUGGGUUCUGUUGUUGCGUAACAGUAAUUAUUUCUUUUUGGUUUUGAUACGUCGAUUUCUCUGUUAACCGUUUUGUUUCUUUUUAUUGGAAAAUUGUAUGUAAUUGGGGGUUGUUGAGAAGUUAGAUUUUGUAGUGUUCUUACUUUAUGUUUUAUAACAUUUCUUUUUUUUUUUUGUUCUUGUUUUGUGUUUAUCAAAGUUUUGAUAAUUUAAUAAUUUUUAAUUUAGUAGUUGUUCGUAAAUGACUUUUUUUAUUUUAAUUUUGUUAUGUGAACUUGAUUUCUAGUUAAAUGUUUUUUAAAGACUUAGGUUUUUUAUUAAUACUGGUUUCUGCUCUAUGUUUUUAUAAAUGGCAGUCUUAGCGUGAGGACAUUAAGGUAGCAAGAUAAUUUGUGCUUUUAAUGGGUUCGAGUAUGAAUGGGAGUAUUGGCUAGUUUUUUACUUUUUUUAUUUUGAAUUAGUUUUGUGUUUAAAAAAUAAUGGUUGAUGUUUUACAAAGAUAAGUCUUCGGAAAUUUUUUUGUUUAGAUUUCUUUGGUUUUUUUAACAUGUUUUCUGGGGUAGAAUUUUUUGUAUUUUUUUUUACUAUUUUUAAUUUAUUAAAUUACUUCGGAGUUAACAGAAAAUCAUAUCUUAUUCAGUUCUUAUGAUAAUGAUAAGUUUUACAUCGAUGUUGUAUUUUAGUUUUGGGGGAGAGGAGAGGGUCCUUUUUUUUAGACUGUUCUUCUAUUAAUAAACUAAACGUGAUAUUAGUUUAAUUCAUCGUGAGAUAGAAUUGUUUAUCUUGUUAACAUUUAUUUUUUGUAAGCUUUUAGUACGAAAGGAAUUUUUGUUGAGGUUUAAAACCUUUUUGGAGGUUUCCUUUU